GUAGGGUGCGAGCGUUAAUCGGAAUUACUGGGCGUAAAGCGUGCGCAGGCGGUUUGGUAAGUCAGAUGUGAAAUCCCCGGGCUCAACCUGGGAACUGCAUUUGAGACUGCCAAGCUGGAGUUUGGCAGAGGGGGGUGGAAUUCCACGUGUAGCAGUGAAAUGCGUAGAGAUGUGGAGGAACACCGAUGGCGAAGGCAGCCCCCUGGGCCAAUACUGACGCUCAUGCACGAAAGCGUGGGGAGCAAAC
rnacentral:rRNA from 1 species